rnacentral:misc_RNA from 1 species
ACGAAUGGUCUCCGUACCUUCAAACCCCUUCAAACCAGUGGACAUUUGAAAUGUGCUUCGGCGCUUUUGCGCCGCCUUUAUGCUGUUAACCUGUCAUUUGUGUCUGAAUGUAAACCAAAAGAAUCA